GUCCCACCCACCUAACAUAUUCCUCUCUCUCUCUCUCUCUCUCUCUCUCUCUCUCUCUCUCUCUCUCUCUCUCUCUCUCUCCCCCAUGUUUCUCCAUCCACACACGAAGAAGACAAAGUGAAGAGGAAGAAGGAGGAAAAGACCACUGUUGAGGAAAAGGCCAAGAGGGAAGAAACAGAUAAAGAUGCCAAUGUCUCAGUCCCUGCGAGUGAGUAGCGCUCCGCUAGCUGGCUAGUUUGCUAUCUGUCUGGUUGGUGUGUAGUAAUUGAAGG